UAGAGUUUGAUCGUGGCUCAGGACGAACGCUGGCGGCGUGCUUAACACAUGCAAGUCGAACGAUGAUGCCCAGCUUGCUGGGUGGAUUAGUGGCGAACGGGUGAGUAACACGUGAGUAACCUGCCCCUGACUCUGGGAUAAGCGUUGGAAACGACGUCUAAUACUGGAUAUGACUGCCGGCCGCAUGGUCUGGUGGUGGAAAGAUUUUUUGGUUGGGGAUGGACUCGCGGCCUAUCAGCUUGUUGGUGAGGUAAUGGCUCACCAAGGCGACGACGGGUAGCCGGCCUGAGAGGGUGACCGGCCACACUGGGACUGAGACACGGCCCAGACUCCUACGGGAGGCAGCAGUGGGGAAUAUUGCACAAUGGGCGAAAGCCUGAUGCAGCAACGCCGCGUGAGGGAUGACGGCCUUCGGGUUGUAAACCUCUUUUAGUAGGGAAGAAGCGAAAGUGACGGUACCUGCAGAAAAAGCACCGGCUAACUACGUGCCAGCAGCCGCGGUAAUACGUAGGGUGCAAGCGUUGUCCGGAAUUAUUGGGCGUAAAGAGCUCGUAGGCGGUUUGUCGCGUCUGCUGUGAAAUCCCGAGGCUCAACCUCGGGCUUGCAGUGGGUACGGGCAGACUAGAGUGCGGUAGGGGAGAUUGGAAGGGGUGGUGUAGCGGUGGAAUGCCAGAUAUCAGGAGGAACACCGAUGGCGAAGGCAGAUCUCUGGGCCGUAACUGACGCUGAGGAGCGAAAGCAUGGGGAGCGAACAGGAUUAGAUACCCUGGUAGUCCAUGCCGUAAACGUUGGGCGCUAGAUGUAGGGACCUUUCCACGGUUUCUGUGUCGUAGCUAACGCAUUAAGCGCCCCGCCUGGGGAGUACGGCCGCAAGGCUAAAACUCAAGGAAUUGACGGGGGCCCGCACAAGCGGCGGAGCAUGCGGAUUAACUCGAUGCAACGCGAAGAACCUUACCAAGGCUUGACAUACACCGGAAACGGCCAGAGAUGGUCGCCCCCUUGUGGUCGGUGUACAGGUGGUGCAUGGUUGUCGUCAGCUCGUGUCGUGAGAUGUUGGGUUAAGUCCCGCAACGAGCGCAACCCUCGUUCUAUGUUGCCAGCGCGUUAUGGCGGGGACUCAUAGGAGACUGCCGGGGUCAACUCGGAGGAAGGUGGGGAUGACGUCAAAUCAUCAUGCCCCUUAUGUCUUGGGCUUCACGCAUGCAACAAUGGCCGGUACAAAGGGCUGCGAUACCGUAAGGUGGAGCGAAUCCCAAAAAGCCGGUCUCAGUUCGGAUUGAGGUCUGCAACUCGACCUCAUGAAGUCGGAGUCGCUAGUAAUCGCAGAUCAGCAACGCUGCGGUGAAUACGUUCCCGGGCCUUGUACACACCGCCCGUCAAGUCAUGAAAGUCGGUAACACCCGAAGCCGGUGGCCUAACCCUUGUGGAAGGAGCCGU
rnacentral:rRNA from 1 species